UAGAGCCCAGUAGAGUACAGUAGAUUACUGCUCUCUAACCCUAACCCCACAAGAGACAUACUUAAAAUCUCAGCUACAAGUAAAUAGAACACUAGAAUCGACAUUGGCAUUCCGGCAACAUUACUACAGGAUGGCCUUUUAGAAAUUAAACUUUCAUUGUACAGUUGAGUAAGUUAGCAUUUUGUCCACAAGUGUACCCACAUUUCUAUUAUAUGUAAAUAGUUUAUGUUUAGUGAAUGCCAUAAUAUAGUUAUUUUGUUAGAUACUUCUCCCUAUUAGCUGAAAUCUCAAAGCCAUUUGAGCUGUCGCGAUAGCUGUUCGGUCCAAACAGAUUCACAAAUCAUGGGAAUUUGUGGGAAUUUGUCAGGUUAGAGGCAAAUUACCCACAAAACGUAUUUGCUAGAUUCAUGUCGUUUUAUUGGGAUUCGCAGCUGUUGUUGGUAAGUAAUGACUCUUCUGAAAUAACUUACUCAUCCUUUAAAUGCCCACACCAGUAGAAAUCUACUUUUUCAAGCUGAAAGACGAUGGCCAGAGCUUACCCAUGAUGUUGCACAACGAUUUAAGUCAAUUAAUCAUCAUUUUAGUCAACGUAUGAUAUAUUUGGGCUUGAAGUGACAAAUCCUAACUGCCCACUUCUUGCAAAUCCACGUCAAUGUUGUGUCUUUUCCUAUGAGAUGAAAUACAAAUUAUUUUUAGCCUACGUUUUGUUUCAGGGCUGGGUUUUAUUUAAAUUUUACCACCCACCAGCAUGGUCUGAUUGUUUUUAUAUUAAUUAGAAACACCUGCAAAGUUAUUCCUCUUCACGACUGAGCCAAACAGCCUUUCAAUGUCCACUUGCUAUUGCUCCUGCUUUAUACAGCUACUUUGCACUCUAUUUUGCACUCUAUAUCUAUAUAUCAAUCUGUCUAUCUGUCUAAAUCCAUUUGUCUGUUUGUAGCUUUGUCCAAGUUUAUCUGUCCACUUCUGUAUCUGUUUGUCUGUUUGUAGCUUUAUACGUUUGUCUGUCUGUCCAUUUGUGCAAUGCCCUGUGGCUACGGUGCGUGUAGGGUUUCCGGUUGAAACAUCAAAGUCUGGGGUUUGUAUGAGUUGCCCUCCCCAUGUCUCCAUCCUCAUGUUUACCGCCAGUGGAUCACUUUCCUCAGCUUGGUAGAGUCGGAAGAAACUGUACGUGUGUCAGUCUGCAAUGCGCAUAUCACCUGGGUUUCCAUUUUGAAUUACUUGCCGGUGCAGCUGGGCUUUCAAAUGAGGCUUUGACUCAAUGAAGAUGCUGUUCCGACCAUCUACCCGGACGGCGAGACUGUAAGUAAAAGAGAGCUUCUCAGCUAGCUAGUUAGCUGAUCAAAUGUACAUUCUAAACUUGCCUCUUCUACAAUAGUUAGCUACAUCAUUACAUGAAAUGCUUACGUAAUAAGCUAGCUAGCUAACGACGUUAGCUCAGCUGUGAUAAAUGUACGAUAUCAAAACAUCCGAAUGAAGUGAGUUCAGUUCAAGAUAGCUAGCUAGCUACCAAACUAUUUGGUUUAGGGCAAAACGUAUCCAAAACUUUCGAGGUUACAAUGUACAUAUAUUUACAGGUUUCUAGCACAAGAGAGAUUGCUCCCAGACAGACCCGCCACAGGUUUGUAAUUUCUCUGCGAAAGCAUCCCCACAAAGGAGGAGCAAGGGUGAGUUUAUGACGCUCAAGUAGAAACUACAGUGGUGCUGAUAACAACACAUCAACAAGAAUAAUUAACUAGUUGGCUUGGCUAUUCCCUUUGCCUCUCCCCACCUAUUCAGAUGUAAUGUUACCUCAUGUUACUGUUGUUACUGACAUACUUGACAUUCAGAUGACUUCAAAUACAGGCAUACUGUGUAAUGAAAAACAUCUCUAAGCAGCAAUAUCAACACAAAUCUCUAUCUGAGGUAGGGUUCAGUGGAGCUGUGGAGAGUGUGAGAGGGACAGUCUGUCACGAUCGUCAGGGAGAGACCAAGGCGCAGCGUUGCAGAAGUGCAGACCAUAUCUGAAUCGACUUUCUACAGCCAUCAGAAAACGGUCCUGCUUCCAACCAUAUAUUGGCAGUGGAAGUCAGAGCAGAGAGUCGUCCUCCAGAAGUCUGUCGGGGAACCUGUGGAUCUUGGAGGGGAUGAGAGCAGGCUCGCCUGGCCACGGUGCAAAAUUUGAUCGACACCCCUAGAUCCAGAAGUACCUGAGGGUGGAGAGGCCUUACAUCAAGCUCAACUACGAUGGGUGGCAUGUGGCUAAAUCUGUGGGGGAAAGAGGAAGGAGAGAAACUGUGAGAUGGUGAGCGGCUGGUGGAGGUCCAUAAUCAACCAUUAUGUACCGGUCGGCCUCAACAUCAAAGUGUGCACAGAUUCUCACUGGCAUUGGACCCAAGAACACGCAUUUGGAGUAACACAGACGGCGAAGUCUUCCCUAAAUGCUUAUGACAAACCAUCUCUAGAACCAGCCAUAGCCAGUGUUAUGGCUAAUCUUUUGAACACUAGCCUUAGCCUAAAGAUGGAAUGUGUUUUUGUUUAUCGUUGCCUAGUUAUGAGGUCAUCACUAGAGCAUCAUGAGUAGGUCAAGUUCACUCUGAGGUAUCUGGACGUACCAGUACCGCCACAGAGUUUCUAAACCUAGAGGUGCUUACGCUUGCGAAACAGACCAAGCAGACAAGGCCGGGGUUUGGAGUUUGAGAAGUCAAUGAGAGAAGUGAAAAAUGAUUCCUUGGUUGUUAAUUUUCUUGAAAUCUAAAGGCACAACCUAGAUUCGAGCCAAUGUCUCAAAUAGUUGAACAUGUUAUUACUCCAACCUUGUGACAUUGACAAAAACUACUUUAUAUCGAAGGAGUGCCUUUGAAUUGACGGCCUGCACAUUCACAGUUCGGCGUGAGACGAACGUUAGGCCCGAUGGCUUGUUUCUUUGCAGUAGCUUAUCAAGCCAACAUCGCCUGGCAACGCCUACAAGUGUAAUCAGGGAUUUCUAUUGGAGAAGCAGUUUCUGCCUAUCUUCAUACUGUACUGUCUUUGGUACCACUGUACCAAAGGAGCAUCUGUAUGUGAAUAAACCACCAGACUUUGGCAAGUGAAGUUACAACGUGUGUUUAUCUUUAUGCACAUCUACAUGGUGUCAAAAGCGACACUCUACAAGCUAAUACUUCUUGCUGCUGUCACAAGAAAAAUACACCGAACAAAAAUAUAAAUGCAACAUGUAAAGUGUU